AUACUUAACUGUCAGAGGUGAAUCAGGAAAGUGAUUUCCCCCGUGUAAGGCUUAUCUAUUGUACUCUGGAUGGGCUGACCCUGUGAUUUCCCCAAAUGUAGGAAAUUUGACUGUACAAUUUGUGGUAGUGGGGGACUAGAUUCAUGCUUUUCUUUG
ensembl:snRNA U1 U1 spliceosomal RNA